UGGGGAAUAUUGGACAAUGGGGGCAACCCUGAUCCAGCAAUGCCGCGUGUGUGAAGAAGGCCUUCGGGUUGUAAAGCACUUUUAUCGGGAACGAAACAUUGUCGGCCAAUACCCGGCAAGACUGACGGUACCCGAGGAAUAAGGAUCGGCUAACUCCGUGCCAGCAGCCGCGGUCAUACGGAGGAUCCAAGCGUUAUCCGGAAUUACUGGGCGUAAAGAGUUGCGUAGGUGGCAAAGUGUGUCUGUAGUGAAAGCGUGGGGCUCAACCCCAUAUACAUUAUAGAAACUGCUUGGCUAGAGGACGAGAGAGGUUAUUGGAAUUCCCAGUGUAGGAGUGAAAUCCGUAGAUAUUGGGAGGAACACCGAUGGCGUAGGCAGAUAACUGGCUCGUUCCUGACACUAAGGCACGAAAGCGUGGGGAGCAAAC
rnacentral:rRNA from 1 species